AAGUCGUAACAAGGUCUCCGUUGGUGAACCAGCGGAGGGAUCAUUACAGAGUUGCAAAACUCCCAAACCAUCGUGAACGUUACCUAUAUCGUUGCUUCGGCGGGUGGCUCGGCCUCGGCCCUGCCCUAGGCCCCUCUCGGGGGCCCGCCGGAGGUCUACCAAACUCUUGAAUUUACAUGGCCUCUCUGAGUCUUCUGUACUGAAUAAGUCAAAACUUUCAACAACGGAUCUCUUGGUUCUGGCAUCGAUGAAGAACGCAGCGAAAUGCGAUAAGUAAUGUGAAUUGCAGAAUUCAGUGAAUCAUCGAAUCUUUGAACGCACAUUGCGCCCGCCGGCAUUCUGGCGGGCAUGCCUGUUCGAGCGUCAUUUCAACCCUCAGACCCCCGGGCCUCCCGGGGGGCUGGCGUUGGGGACCGGCCCCGCCCCGUGCGGCGGCCGCCCCCGAAAUCCAGUGGCGGUCACGCCGCGGCUUCCUCUGCGUAGUAGCAAUCGCCUCGCAGCAUGGGACGCGGCGCGGCCACGCCCGAAAAUCAUACAUCUCGUGGUUGACCUCGGAUCAGGUAGGAGUACCCGCUGAACUUAA
rnacentral:rRNA from 1 species